rnacentral:lncRNA from 1 species
GUAUUUAUCUUUUGCUUUUGAUUCUUCAGCUCUAUGGGUUUUUAAUUAGCGUUAUGACUGCGGCUAUGGUCAUUAUUUUAUUGUGAAAAGUUGUAGUCAAAUGUGAUCAAUGCAAUCUCCAUCCUUGCCGAAAUUGCAAUCAUAAACUCCUUUUUAAAACUCACUUAUGCCUAUAUAAACAAAGCAAAUAUUGCCACUAGAUCGACUAGACCAGAGAUUAAAACAUUUAAUAGUAUAUAAAUGAAUGCAUAAUAUGGUAUCAGAAUCAUUUCAAAUAUAUCUUAAUUAGAGUUUGUUGUGUUUAUCAGAUCAGACCAUCCACUAUCAGGUCUUAUCGGAACAUUGAAUUAGAAUUAAAUUUCAUUUCAUAAUAUCUAUCAAUAUAACAUAUUUCUUUUAUUUGGAUUUGUAGGUGG